ACACAGAAAGCCCGAGCCCGGGAAGAAACAAAGGGAAUUGGGUAAAAAAGCGAAAACAAGCCCGAUCAAGUGAGCUGAAGGAUCGUCGAACCUCACUUUGGCCCAAGCCCUAUCGAAGGGGUAAACAGGCUUUCGAUCCCUGGCUGGCGUAUAAAUACGAGGAGGCCUCUCCCGGCAGCCUCAUUCAGUGUUUUGUGUUGAGUCCGAGAGGUUCAGGAUCAGGAGCAGCUUGCGAUCGCGCCUUGGGGUCACUGAGACCCAACAAAAAAAGCUAAAGCCCAUCUUUGGAUAACGUUUCUCUGGAUAUCAGCUGCGCCCAGUCAACCGAGUGGCAGAUAUGUGGAGAUCUGUCUUCCAUGUAUCCGCCAGCAGCUGCCCUCUCAAAAUAAUGCAACAAAAAUAAUCGUUAUUUCGGUCCAAGCACACUCACCCACCGCAGUCAGCCCAGCAUAUUUCCGGCCUCUUCUUGAUGAGGCUGGCGAAACCGGACCCUUCUUAACACCUGUGCAGCUGGGGCCCAAUCAGGGCUAGCACCUGGCCAGAACACCUAUUGGCACUCAUCAUGGAACAUUGAAUCGUUGGAAGGCCGCCGAACACCGCACCACAGCCAUCCACCAUCCAUCCAACCAUCCAUCCAUCACCACCAAACGUUGUCUCGGCCCUUUGGACAAAAUUUACAUUUGAGUUUAAGUUUAGGUGUAAACAAUAAACAAAAAACAACAAUAGGCUACCAAAAAAAAGUAAAAAGCGAAAAAAAAUCCACCCAAA